rnacentral:rRNA from 1 species
CCUACGGGUGGCAGCAGUGGGGAAUAUUGGACAAUGGGCGCAAGCCUGAUCCAGCAAUGCCGCGUGGAUGAAGAAGGUCUUCGGAUUGUAAAGUCCUUUCGGCGGGGACGAUGAUGACGGUACCCGCAGAAGAAGCCCCGGCUAACUUCGUGCCAGCAGCCGCGGUAAUACGAAGGGGGCUAGCGUUGCUCGGAAUUACUGGGCGUAAAGGGCGCGUAGGCGGCGAUCUCAGUCAGGCGUGAAAGCCCCGGGCUCAACCUGGGAACUGCGCUUGAGACGGGGUUGCUUGAGGGCGGGAGAGGGUGGUGGAAUUCCCAGUGUAGAGGUGAAAUUCGUAGAUAUUGGGAAGAACACCGGUGGCGAAGGCGGCCACCUGGCCCGUUACUGACGCUGAGGCGCGAAAGCGUGGGGAGCAAACAGGAUUAGAUACCCUUGUAGUC